AUAUCUAAUGGCACUGCCGAGUAGCUAAGUUCGGAAGGGAUAACCACUGAAAGCAUCUAAGUGGGAAGCCUACUUCAAGAUUAGAUUCCUCUGCCUCGAGCAAUAAGUCCCCAUGGAGACUACGUGGUUGAUAGGUUGCAAGUGUAAGAAUGGUGACAUUCUCAGCUGAGCAAUACUAAUAGGACGAAUGGAUUUUAAUA
rnacentral:ncRNA from 1 species